GCCUUGAAGAGGAUAUCACUUCAUUUCUUGCCAAAAUUGACUAGCAUCUCCAGUGGUUUGCUCAUGGCACCAAUGUUGGAAUUGAUGAGCUUUCAAUAUUGCCUGAACCUCAAGAGGUAAGCAAAGCAUCCAAUAAGAAUCUGAGAAAGAUCAAGGGCGAGGAGAGUUGGUGGCAAGAAUUGAAGUGGGAAGGGUACUCAUCAUGAUUCUUGGGCUGACAUUUUUGUUCCAAUUGAUUAAUGUAAUCAAAUCAUGUUGUGACUUGAGGAGCUGAUGGGGCUGAGUUCUCUUUUAUGCUUCUUUAUGAUGGGGCAGGGUUUUCUUUAUUGAGAUUGGGUUGUGGUAUACACGUUUGCAUGCUGCGUAAACACUCUUCUCUGUGUGUUCUUGUUUUGGUCUUGUUUUGACAGAU
rnacentral:misc_RNA from 1 species